GAUGAACGCUGGCGGCGUGCCUAACACAUGCAAGUCGAGCGAUUCUCUUCGGAGAAGAGCGGCGGACGGGUGAGUAACGCGUGGGUAACCUGCCCUGUACACACGGAUAACAUACCGAAAGGUAUGCUAAUACGGGAUAAUGUGCUUUUAUCGCAUGGUAAAAGUAUCAAAGCUCUGGCGGUACAGGAUGGACCCGCGUCUGAUUAGCUAGUUGGUAAGGUAAUGGCUUACCAAGGCGACGAUCAGUAGCCGACCUGAGAGGGUGAUCGGCCACAUUGGAACUGAGACACGGUCCAAACUCCUACGGGAGGCAGCAGUGGGGAAUAUUGCACAAUGGGCGAAAGCCUGAUGCAGCAACGCCGCGUGAGCGAUGAAGGCCUUCGGGUCGUAAAGCUCUGUCCUCAAGGAAGAUAAUGACGGUACUUGAGGAGGAAGCCCCGGCUAACUACGUGCCAGCCGCCGCCGUAAUAC
rnacentral:rRNA from 1 species